UGAACGAAGAGUUUGAUCCUGGCUCAGGAUGAACGCUGACAGAAUGCUUAACACAUGCAAGUCUACUUGAUCCUUCGGGUGAUGGUGGCGGACGGGUGAGUAACGCGUAAAGAACUUGCCCUGCAGUCUGGGACAACAUUUGGAAACGAAUG
rnacentral:ncRNA from 1 species